GACGAACGCUGGCGGCGUGCUUAACACAUGCAAGUCGAGCGGUGCGGCGAAGGGGCGGGUAACGCGUGAGUAAUUGCCCCCCUCUCUGGGAUAACAGUUGGAACCGGCUGCUAAUACCGGAUAGUGGGGGAUGGCUCGCGGCCAAUCAGCUUGUUGGUUGGGUAGUGGCCUACCAAGGCGACGACGGGUAACCGACCUGGGAGGGCGACCGGACACAUUGGGCUAAGAGACGGACCAGGGUCCUACGGGGGGCAGCAGUGGCGAAUAUUGCACAAUGGGGGAAACCCAGAUGCGGCAACGCCGCGUGCGGAAUGACGGCCUGCGGGUUGAAAACCGCUUUCAGCCAUGACGCGGUAGUGGCAGAAGAAGCACCGGCUAACUACGUGCCAGCAGCCGCGGUAAUUC
rnacentral:rRNA from 1 species